rnacentral:rRNA from 1 species
CCUACGGGUGGCAGCAGUGGGGAAUAUUGCACAAUGGGGGGAACCCUGAUGCAGCGACGCCGCGUGAGUGAAGAAGGCUUUCGGGUUGUAAACUUCUUUUCUCAGGGACGAAGCAAGUGACGGUAACUGAGGAAUAAGCCACGGCUAACUACGUGCCAGCAGCUGCGGUAAUACGUAGUUGGCAAGCGUUAUCCGGAUUUACUGGGAGUAAAGAGCGUGUAGGCGGGACUGUAAGUCAGAUGUGAAAACCACGGGCUCAACCUGUGCCCUGCAUUUGAAAAUGUAGGUCUUGAGUACUGUAGAGGCAGACAGAAUUCCUGGUGUAGCGGUGAAAUGCGUAGAUAUUAGGAGGAACAUCGGGGGCGAAGGCGACUUCCUGGACGGUAACUGACACUGAGGCGCGAAAGCGUGGGGAGCAAACAGGAUUAGAUACCCUGGUAGUC